UCUGUGUGUGCACCUACAUGCACAUGUAACAAAGUGAUAAUUUCUAUUUCCUUAGAUGUUUCAAAAUGUAUCUUGAACAUAUGACAAAUAUUUAAUGUUUUCUGGGUGACUACAUUGAAGCCUACCACUCACUUGGGACAGAAAAGUCAUUUUUUGGUGUGUGAUUAUACUUGCUAUCUUAUGGUCACAACUUUUAAAACUACAUAGAAGCAUUAAUAUUUUUAUUUUUCCUUUAGAUCCUUCACUGAAUUCAACCCAGUCUACUCAACAGUUCACCAAGAGUCUUGCUAUCUCCAAUUUCAGGAUAUGCUUUCCAUCACCAAUACCCAGUCAGCUUUCAAAAGUCAGACUACAACUGAAUCAAAGAAUUACACAAGAAAAGGGAAACUGAGUCAUCCUUCAGCAACUCCAGGAACAAAUCAAGG
rnacentral:lncRNA from 1 species